AGGUGGAUUAGUGGCGCACGGGUGAGUAACGCAUAGGUAAUAUGCCCCAUAGUCUGGGAUAGCCACUGGAAACGGUGAUUAAUACUAGAUACUCCCUACGGGGGAAAGUUUUUCGCUAUGGGAUUAGCCUAUGUCCUAUCAGCUUGUUGGUGAGGUAAUGGCUCACCAAGGCUAUGACGGGUAUCCGGCCUGAGAGGGUGAUCGGACACACUGGAACUGAGACACGGUCCAGACUCCUACGGGAGGCAGCAGUAGGGAAUAUUGCUCAAUGGGGGAAACCCUGAAGCAGCAACGCCGCGUGGAGGAUGAAGGUUUUAGGAUUGUAAACUCCUUUUGUUAGAGAAGAUU
rnacentral:rRNA from 1 species